AUGGCCCGUGCAGAGACCAUUGAAAGUGUUGGGGAAACUGGGAUUGGAACACAUGGUCUCUUUUCUCAGCACAACACCUGCUGCAUGGAGCUGACUCGUCCUCUCCAAAGCUGGCCUGGACUGCUCAGCACUGCUACCAUCACCAUUAGCCCUGGGAAUGCCAGCACCCCCGUGCACCGCCAUCAUAACGACCACAGCCUCCAGCCUUUGCAGGCGAUCAGUGGGUCAUAUCAUUCAUCUUACCUCCACCCCGAGGGCCAGGCUCAGCCCCAGCCUCACCACCAGUUACCUACUUUAUCUUCGGCAACUCAUCCUUUGCCACUUCAAAAUCAGGGAGGAGAAUUUGACGAAGGCUUUCCAGGACAGCAGUCAGGCUUGGACCAGAGGACACAACAGGAGCGCAGCCACCGACGAGGACCUCUGCCCGACCUGCUGCCACAGACGGAGCACCUGUCCAGGCUUUCAUCCCCUCCCAGAGGCCCCGACGACGGCACGUUACAGCUGAGGGUCAGGAGGGUGGCCAUCCAACUGAGGACCAUCGGGGACGAAUUCAACGCCACGCUUCUCCACAGAGCGGUAAGUGUGGCGACCGAAAGUCCCUUAUGAUUCCAGCGAGGGACCACAGUGGACGCUUGUGUGGCGUUUUUAAAUAGCACGUAGCUUAGCGAGCGCAGCGGAGGCCGAAAACAGACAGGGUCACCGCGGCAAUAAUCCGCAACAGCAAUCAUUAAAGUUCCCAAAAAAAGUUUACUGGAGCUCUUGUAGUGACUCACGCUGACAGCAGCAGAGCGUCCAGCGCGUUCUAAAACACUCGAGGGUUUCUGUCGUGACUUAUGUGGAGGUGCAGAGGGUUCAGAGUCCUUGAACCCAACAGGGUAUUUCCACUGUGUGUGUGGGAGGCUGCAGCAGGCCGAGGGGGGGGCAGGAGGAGGGUUCGUCACAGUUUCUUUUUCUUUCUGUCCUUCUCUACCCAUGAACUGGGUCUUUAGUGCCAUUCUGAGUGCAACUGUAACCUCAGUCGUGUAAAAAAGGAAAGGAAAAAAACGGGAUGUUGCUGGUCUGGAGACAUUUCUCUUUUUCCCACUGGUGCCGUGUUUCUGUUAUUGUGUUUUUUUUUUCUCUGCCCCAUCCUGCCCCUCCCUACCCAAUGUGUGAGGAGUCGCUCCUCCUCCCCCGCUACACACACUUCCCCAAUUCUCUUUCCUUUGCAAAAAAAAAACAAAGAUGAUGUCACCGUCUCUUUGCACUGAGUCAGGAAUAAGUCAGCACACACGACACACACAUGCACACACCCUUUGCAUAGCAGGGUUCCUGGCAUCGCUGACCUCUCCUCUGCCUCCUCUGAUUUUUAAGGGGGAGCCGAAUGUGCAUGCUUUGUUUUACCAUCAGACAGUUUUCCUCUGCUUUAAUUUUCAAACUGAGGGAAGAAAUGACCAGUGAAAGUUGUAAGGGAAGGAAGCGGUGAGAGAGGAUCGACCACCUCGUUGAGGGAUGCGUAGCUGACGGUGUGAUCCUGAGCACAGAAAGACACAAACACUGGUAGAUCUCUGCCUGGUCCUCAUCUGUUUCUGUCCAUCCUGUCAAAUCCUCUGUCUUUUAAAGAGAAUUAGCAGCUUUAGGGAUUUCUUUUGCAACCCAAAUCAGUAUCUGUUAGUUUUAUACCCAUUUAUACAUCAGGCCGCAGUGAUUAACAGUGUUUGGUGUGUAAAGUCAUGAUAAAAUGAUAUAAAAUCCUAAUACUACGGUAAUAACAUGACAUACUUUAGAGCAGACUGUAACCUGGCUGAGACGUGGAGGCACAGGAGCUCGCGCUAACCUCUCCCCCUCUCUGUUACAGGAUGCUCCCUAUUGGCAGGACUGGCGAGAUGCCUGCAGAGUUUUACUGAAUUUCAUCACCCAGACUCUCAGCACGCUCUACCGGCUGACAUAAGCACCCAAGCGUUUGGCAUGUGGGGCCACUGGCUGCUGGAACGUUGCAAAAAAACACUGGGGAGGAUUAACCAAUUUGGAAAUCAAACAUUUUCUAUAGUCUGUGAGACUACCCAUUAGUCAGUCUGCUGGCUCAGACUGCUGUUGAGAGAGGAAAUCCCCCUUUUUUCCCCCUGUGUAUUCAGUUAAAUUUACACGUUUCUGGAUUAAAUCUGUUGGUGUACUGUAGGGGAAUGACUGUAAUUUUACAUUUCAGACCUGUUUAAUUUUACAUUUCAGACUUGUCCUGAUAAUCCAAGCUACAAAGUACGACACUUCGAUGUCUCUCCCUUGUCUUUGAAACUGUGAAAGUGGAUCCUGAGUGGGGACAGGUCAGGUGCUAUUCCACCAACGGGCACAAAGUGAACCUGCCUCCCAACCUGAAACUGCUUCAGUGCAUCAUAUAAUGUGCCUUCCUGCUCAGCACCCUUUGUAGGCCCAGUUUUACUUUCUGUCAAUCGGUCAGACACACAGAUCCAGAGGCGGCCCCUAAAGUAAAGGUUAUUAGAUACAUAUCCUGCCUGCAUUCCUCUGCAGCAGCCCUGCAGUCAGUGCUGGGACCUGCCAGGCUGAUUCCAGGUUCUAAACAGUGUUCAUAGUUUCUUGAUCAUUUGUAAAUAUUUUUUUGGAAGAUGAAACUAUCUCUCGUGUUUUCAAGAAAUUUUAAAGUACCUUUCAAGCUGUGAGUUCGCUGUCUUUGGGAGACCUUGUUUUAAGGGGGAAAAAAAAAUUAAAUACAUUUCUGAGCAGAGUUUGAAUUUAAAUCCAGUGGAUUUGAGUUAGGAAAAAAUCUAUGAUUGAAUUUUUUUUGACUGAAAUGAAAAGAAAGAAAAGUUAAAAUCUCCCUCUUGGUUGUGCGACUGCAUUCAUUUUUGCCUUGGUGAGAAUGUUGACAGCUCAUAUUAAGAGCAUAAUUUAUUUUAAAAUGUAGCCUUACUGUAGCAUUUUUAUGUUCACUGUUAUUUAUUUUGUUUUUACAUUCCUCAAGAGUAUGAAUUAAGUGCUUGUGUUAAACUGAGAUUUACAAUACAAUGUUUUCAAGAAUUUUAAAAAGAUUAUUAUCAUUACUGAAAUUCCAAAUUUAGAAAACCAAAAUGUCCUCAUUGGCAUUCUAAUUUCCAACAGUACAGAUGGUAAAACGUGGUAUAGACGCUCAGUUUCUUUCAGGAAGUGUUAAAAAUGUGAUUCCCAUCAGAUUCCAAAUCACUCAAAACGGGGUUCUAAUUAACCAUCGAAUGUUUUCUGUGCUUUUUACUUGCUUGGCCUUGAAUUGUUGAUGUCCUUCUGUUGUCAGCUGAAAGUCCUGGAUACCAAUUUCAAUUGGUGGCUGAGCCAGAUGCUGAGCUAAGACCACUCUGGUAUUUUUAGUUUUCGGUUAGUUUGUCAUCUCAUUUGCUGUUAUCGCAUUUAUGCUGACCGUUUUUUGAUGCCUUGUAAAUGCUUACAGUUGUGUUCUCUUCCAUUUUUUAAUCUAAGAGGUCUGAGGUUUUCCUUCCUACAAUGAUGCAGUGUCAUCACACACAGUGUGUUUGGCUUUUUUUCCCCCACCAUUUUUGUACACUUUUUUUUUUUUUUUACAAAAUUUUGUAAGUCUCUUCAGUUUUUAUACAAUAAAGUUAAAAGAGAAAUCUACCCAUGUGUUUGGUGUUUAAUCCCAAAUAAACAGGACAAGAAAUUACCAUUCUUGUACGCCAGCGAGAUUCUCUGAGAAGAAUACGUGUUUCUUUUUAAACCUCAUCUUUCCUGCUACUGGUUGACACUGGAAACCUCUGUGGGUUGUGGCCACCCUGGCAGGACAGAAGAGGACAGCAGUAAUUAACUGGAAUGUGUUGCCAC
rnacentral:lncRNA from 1 species